rnacentral:rRNA from 1 species
GACGAACGCUGGCGGCGUGCUUAACACAUGCCAGUCGAACGCUGAAGCUCAGCUUUUGUUGGGUGGAUGAGUGGCGAACGGGUGAGUAACACGUGAGUAACCUGCCCCCUUCUUUGGGAUAACGCCCGGAAACGGGUGCUAAUACUGGAUAUUCACUGGUCUUCGCAUGGGGGUUGGUGGAAAGGGUUUUUCUGGUGGGGGAUGGGCUCGCGGCCUAUCAGCUUGUUGGUGGGGUGAUGGCCUACCAAGGCUUUGACGGGUAGCCGGCCUGAGAGGGUGACCGGUCACAUUGGGACUGAGAUACGGCCCAGACUCCUACGGGAGGCAGCAGUGGGGAAUAUUGCACAAUGGGCGAAAGCCUGAUGCAGCGACGCCGCGUGAGGGAUGGAGGCCUUCGGGUUGUGAACCUCUUUCGCUCAUGGUCAAGCCGCAACAAUGGUUGUGGUGAGGGUAGUGGGUAAAGAAGCGCCGGCUAACUACGUG